AUUGAACGCUGGCGGCAGGCUUAACACAUGCAAGUCGAGCGAGCGGCGGACGGGUGAGUAAUGUCUGGGAAACUGCCUGAUGGAGGGGGAUCACUACUGGAAACGGUAGCUAAUACCGCAUACCAUCAGAUGUGCCCAGAUGGGAUUAGCUAGUAGGUGGGGUAAUGGCUCACCUAGGCGACGAUCCCUAGCUGGUCUGAGAGGAUGACCAGCCACACUGGAACUGAGACACGGUCCAGACUCCUACGGGAGGCAGCCGUGGGGAAUAUUGCACAAUGGGCGAAAGCCUGAUGCAGCCAUGCCGCGUGUGUGAAGAAGGCCUUCGGGUUGUAAAGCACUUUCAGCGAGGAGGCGUUACUCGCAGAAGAAGCACCGGCUAACUCCGUGCCAGCAGCCGCGGUAAUUC
rnacentral:rRNA from 1 species